UUGGCCAAAAGCAAGACACUUGGCUGAGUCCAAAGUCAUGGUUCAGGGAAGCGCUUUCCACCUGUAUGAGGUCAAAGCAAAACUCACAUGGCCAACCCAGCAUCAGUGGAAGAGCCUUCGGGACCUACUGGAGGCUGAUCUUGUAUGGAUGUCACUUCCACUUGAAGAAACGUGCUUCCAUACUGUUCCAUCAUUCUGUGCAUUCUGUGAGAUAUCAAGUCAUCUUGAUAUGCCAAAUAUACCAUUUCACAGUCAUGUGAUCAUGUGGUGUCCCACGAUCAGCCCUGUCUCCAUGAAGGAAUUCUGUCAGUUACUAUAUCUAAAUCAAGUAUGUAUUCAGGAACAGAAGAAACAACCUCUGUGGUUUUGCAGUUCCGGUGAGACCUCCUUAAGUCUCUCUGACUGGUGGGACAGAGUUGAAUUUCAGUUUCCCAUUUCAUCUCAGUGCAAUUAUCCAAUAUAUCUCCAAACGUCCAGGAAAGAAGCAAUUUCUGGACUCCCAUGGGACACAUGCUGAGGGUGCUGAAGAAUUGAUUGCAUAUGAUAAAUUCAUUCCAGUGUUCCUAUCUCCUAAGCCUUUGGAUUCCUUCCUCACCAUUGUGUCCAGGAAGUUCUAAUAUCUCAACUUCAUUUAGUGAAGGAUAACUCUGAGUCUUGAUUUCAAUCAACCAAACAAUGAAGCUGUUAGAGUCAUUCUUGGCAGUUUGAGCCACAUAUUAAAUCCCAAAACUCUGGUGUUUGCAAGGAUAUCAAUCAGUUUGACCUUUUUCACUGUUAGUUUCCUUAGUCCCUGGUCUUAUUUGCUUAGAAUACAUUCAUCACACAUAG
rnacentral:lncRNA from 1 species